AAUGUUCACCGCUACCAACUUAGAAAUAAAUUACUUAUAAACUUCCUAAACCGAACACGGACUUUCUUAAGAAAUCAAUCUCCUUUCAAGCUGUUAGUCUAUGGAACGGACUGAGCCUUGAACUGAAAAUUAGUAGAACGUUUAAAGAAUUUAAAAAGUCUGUUAAAGCACUUAAGUUGUAAUAGAUGUGUGUAUAAUAGUUUGGGUCAUGCAAGUGUCAAAUAAUGUGAUUGUUUGUUAUGUGUUUUUAUGUGAACAAUUAUGCUUUAGUGAACAGUUACUCUAUAGUCAUGUUUUCGUGGAAUUUGUUAC